GCCUUGCGAAGUUUGCCGUUUUUCAGUCAUUUUGUAUUACAAACGGGAAAUUGACAUCCGAUUCGGGUGUUGGGGCUGCAAUUUCCCGUUUGUAAUGCAAAAUGACUGAAAAUUGCAAACUUUGCAAGGCUCUAUUUUCCUCAUUUUACAACUUUUCGCAACGAAACUUUGGCAUAUUACUAAUGUUGUGAUGCUCUUUCAAGCUGUGAUGAAAUAUUUGUCUAGACUUGCCUAGAUCAAAAUUUUGGUUAUAAGGGGAAAGGUCUAUUACGAGCUUUACUGACCCUUACUGACUAGCAGAUAAUAACAGGAAUUGCACCCAGUGAACAUGCUUAAGUAGACUAAGUAUAAUUUUAGUAAUGUGGGUUUUCAAUAAAUAUAGAUUGCUUGAUAUUUUGUCUAUAUCCGCCCCUGACGUUUUAGUAAACUAAUAGUAUAAUACUGUAUAAAAAUACUACAAAGGCAG